rnacentral:rRNA from 1 species
CCUACGGGUGGCAGCAGUGAGGAAUAUUGGUCAAUGGACGAGAGUCUGAACCAGCCAAGUAGCGUGAAGGAUGACUGCCCUAUGGGUUGUAAACUUCUUUUAUAUGGGAAUAAAAUGUUCCACGUGUGGGAUUUUGUAUGUCCCAUAUGAAUAAGGAUCGGCUAACACCGUGACAGCAGCCGCGGUAAUACGGAGUAUCCGAGCGUUAUCCGGAAUUAUUGGGUUUAAAGGGCGCGUAGGUGGAUUGUUAAGUCAGUUGUGAAAGUUUACGGCUCAACCGUAAAAUUGCAGUUGAAACUGGCAGUCUAGAGUACAGUAGAGGUGGGCGGAAUUCGUGGUGUAGCGGUGAAAUGCUUAGAUAUCACGAAGAACACCGAUUGCGAAGGCAGUUCACUGGACUGCAACUGACACUGAGGCUCGAAAGUGUGGGUAUCAAACAGGAUUAGAUACCCCUGUAGUC